rnacentral:lncRNA from 1 species
CGCCAUCUAUUUUCAGAUGGGGAAACAGGCUCAAACUCAGUCCAUGACCCUCUCAGGGUCCACGUAAUUACUAAAAGCCAGGGUUUCCUCCCUACCGAAAGUCGCUUCUACAGUCUUAGAGCCUCUUCUGAGGGUAACAGACUGCCUUGCACACGCAGUGCUUGUGAGGAGAAACAGUAAGAACUGGAAGCCUUUCCAGAAGUCUGAAAUCAAGGUGUUGGCAGGGCCAUGCUCUCUCUGAAGACUCUAAGGGAGGAUCCUUCCUUGUCUCUCCUGAGCUUCUGGUAGCUGCUGGCAGUCUGUGGCAUUUCUUGGUGACAUGGAGGCAGACUGACGGGUUUGAGUUUUGGCUCUCAUUUUCUGGGCCGUCCUUUCUGGGCCUCAGUCUUCUUCUAAAAUGAAACUCAUCAUCCAUGCCUGAGGGGGCGUUGAAGCGUGAAAUGCAAGGAUGGUGGAACAUGCCCAGCACAGCACCUGGCGCUUAGUAGGCUCUUUGUCUCACUGCUUCUCCCUUUGGAGCAGGGGCUCCGUUCCACUCACCUCUACACCUUCUCAGCCAUCACAGUGCCUGGCGUGUGGACGGUCUUCGUACGUGUUUUGAACAAAUGAACAAACCAGCUCACAGAGCUACUCACCUUGAUUUUAAUUGACUGAUCGCCUAAUGAAAUACCAAGUUUUGUGGGGGAUUCAGAAGAUUAUAUCAUGACAUCCCACAACUAGAAGGACCUGCAACUAAGAUAUACAACUAUGUACCGGGGAGGUUUGGGAAAUAAAGCAGAAAAAAAAAAUCAAACAGAAGAUUAUAUCAUGAAACUCCUCCCACAGGUUCUAACAAUCUGAUUGGAGGAGACAAGAUUAAUCAACACACAUUUAAGAGUGAACACAGAAGCUAACAAAUGAAAAUGAUUAAACAUGUAUGGCACAGACUGUUCAUAAUUAAGUUCACAGUUCCUCCAACAGAGCUCAGUUCUCAAAUUCUGACACUCACAGUGUUAAUUUACAUCUGUGUUGUUUGUUGACAGUUGGCUGUUCGUCAGAUCCUGGGCGUUCCGAUGGGAAGGAGAGCACUCACCUUGCAGCAGGGACCUUGUGUCUAGACGGCAGGGCUGGGUGGGAAUCUAGCAGGCAUCAGAAGAGCGCAGGGCCCAGGGGAUGGGGUGGAGGUGCCUGGAGACAGGAAAAAAAGGAGUCAAGGAGGGGAAGCGAGAGCAGACUGAAACAACAUUCAGCCACUGCACCAUUUGGCUGUUGAUUUUUUCCUCCCUCCGAGUGUGAAUAAAGUCACAGGACCUAAAUCCGGGAGCCACCUUAAAAGCGUCUGGCCGGGAGGCUUUAUGUAAUAGCUCACGAGGCAUUCAAAUCACUGCUCACACACUUUUAGGGACAGGGCAGAAAGCCCUUCGCUACCUCGGCAGAGAGCCCGCGUCUUCAUUAGACUGUUCU